GAACGAACGCUGGCGGCAGGCUUAACACAUGCAAGUCGAGCGCACCUUCGGGGUGAGCGGCGGACGGGUUAGUAACGCGUGGGAACAUACCCUUUGGUACGGAAUAGCCUCUGGAAACGGAGAGUAAUAGUAUGAGCCCUUCGGGGGAAAGAUUUAUCGCCAAAGGAUUGGCCCGCGUUAGAUUAGGUAGUUGGUGGGGUAAUGGCCUACCAAGCCUACGAUCUAUAGCUGGUUUUAGAGGAUGAUCAGCAACACUGGGACUGAGACACGGCCCAGACUCCUACGGGAGGCAGCAGUGGGGAAUCUUGGACAAUGGGGGCAACCCUGAUCCAGCCAUGCCGCGUGAGUGAUGAAGGCCUUAAGGGUCGUAAAGCUCUUUCGCCUGUGAAGAUAAUGACGGUAGCAGGUAAAGAAACCCCGGCUAACUCCGUGCCAGCAGCCGCGGUAAUACGGAGGGGGUUAGCGUUGUUCGGAAUUACUGGGCGUAAAGCGCACGUAGGCGGACUGGAAA
rnacentral:rRNA from 1 species